rnacentral:rRNA from 1 species
GCGGAGGACAUUACUGA